GCCAGCGACAACACCAACAGACACAACCCCGCAGGACACGAGCGCAAGAUCGUGGAGAAGCUCCAGAACAGCGAGAAGAAAGACAAGGAGUGAAUAUUGAGGGAAUCUCGGACGGCUCAUCCCGGAAACCGACCAUGGCGUCCUUGGCGACAGAACGACACGUGUAGAGCUUCUGAGUUCCGAUGGGCCCGCAGGUGUUACAGAGCUCUCACCUGAGGCGGCGUGCCCCUGGGUCCCCGCUUGGACCGCGACCGCGCACCGAGACUGCGGUGGCGGCAAAUGGCUCAUUCUUAAGGAUGUUUUUUAAAACUUGUUUUUACGAUUAAAGACUUGUUAAACUGAAA